UUCAGUAUAGCAAAAUAAUAUGCAUUAAAUUUAGGAUUUAAAAAUGAAAAUAUUCUAUUGAUC
rnacentral:tRNA from 1 species